rnacentral:rRNA from 1 species
GACGAACGCUGGCGGCGUGCUUAACACAUGCAAGUCGAACGCUGAGGCUCAGCUUUUGUUGGGUGGAUGAGUGGCGAACGGGUGAGUAACACGUGAGUAACCUGCCUCCUUCUUUGGGAUAACGCCCGGAAACGGGUGCUAAUACUGGAUAUUCACUGGUCUUCGCAUGGGGGUUGGUGGAAAGGGUUUUUCUGGUGGGGGAUGGGCUCGCGGCCUAUCAGCUUGUUGGUGGGGUGAUGGCCUACCAAGGCUUUGACGGGUAGCCGGCCUGAGAGGGUGACCGGUCACAUUGGGACGGAGAUACGGCCCAGACUCCUACGGGAGGCAGCAGUGGGGAAUAUUGCACAAUGGGCGCAAGCCUGAUGCAGCGACGCCGCGUGAGGGAUGGAGGCCUUCGGGUUGUGAACCUCUUUCGCUCAUGGUCAAGCCGCGACAAUGGUUGUGGUGAGGGUAGUGGGUAAAGAAGCGCCGGCUAACUACGUG